GAUGAACGCUGGCGGCGUGCCUAACACAUGCAAGUCGAGCGAUUCUCUUCGGAGAAGAGCGGCAGACGGGUGAGUAACGCGUGGGUAACCUGCCCUGUACACACGGAUAACAUACCGAAAGGUAUGCUAAUACGAGAUAAUAUGCUUUUAUCGAAUGGUAGCAGUAGCAAAGCUUUUGUGGUACAGGAUGGACCCGCGUAUGAUUGGCUAGUUGGUGAGGUAACGGCUGACCAAGGCGACGAUCAGUAGCCGACCUGAGAGGGUGAUCGGCCACAUUGGAACUGAGACACGGUCCAAACUCCUACGGGAGGCAGCAGUGGGGAAUAUUGCACAAUGGGCGAAAGCCUGAUGCAGCAACGCCGCGUGAGCGAUGAAGGCCUUCGGGUCGUAAAGCUCUGUCCUCAAUGAAGAUAAUGACGGUACUUGAGGAGGAAGCCCCGGCUAACUACGUGCCAGCCGCCGCCGUAA
rnacentral:rRNA from 1 species